rnacentral:lncRNA from 1 species
GUGCCCUCUCCGUGUAGCCAGCAAAACUGCUUCCAGAGAAUCUCCCUCGAGGUGCGCAUCGUUCUGCCUUGAUCGAUCGACAAUCACCAUCCCAUCAGGAUCCAGGCAUGAAGAAUAAUGCUAACAUUCUCCGAUCUCCUCCAGUGGAGAUUCGACCUUCGGCUACUCUCCGUGCCUCAUAAAAUCUCAUCGGGAGGAGGACCUCGAGCAAAAGGUCUGAAAGAUCAAACGUCAUCUGGGCUAGAUUCAAAUGGGCAGCCAAAGGAAUGACGACAUCCUUAGCUUCAAUUUCCAAUCAUCUUUCUUUUGAUCCAUCCUCUAAGAAUUG